UACGGAGGGGGCUAGCGUUGCUCGGAAUCACUGGGCGUAAAGGGUGCGUAGGCGGGUCUUUUAAGUCAGGGGUGAAAUCCUGGAGCUCAACUCCAGAACUGCCUUUGAUACUGAAAGUCUUGAGUAUGGGAGAGGUGAGUGGAACUGCGAGUGUAGAGGUGAAAUUCGUAGAUAUUCGCAAGAACACCAGUGGCGAAGGCGGCUCACUGGCCCAUAACUGACGCUGAGGCACGAAAGCGUGGGGAGCAAACAGG
rnacentral:rRNA from 1 species